rnacentral:rRNA from 1 species
AGAGAGGAUACACCUGUUCCCAUUCCGAACACAGAAGUUAAGCUCUCUAGCGCUGAUGGUACUUGGUGGGAAACUGCCUGGGAGAGUAGGACGUAGCCACGU